AAUUAUGCAUGUUUACGGUUUCUGUUUUCGCACUUCCUCUAUUUUCUCUGUUCAUAUACCACGUCAAGUGCGUGUAAAAGACAUUCUGAGCAAAAUAUAGAAGAAAAGUGCAUUAACGUGUACUUUGUCUAACAAAAAUGUCACUUCAGUUCUUGACGUUGGUCGCCAUCUACGUUGUGUUCAUCACCACAGAAGCUGUUUCAGGUGAAGUUGUGAAGAAAGCAGUGGGUGAUCAAGUUUCUUUUCGUCCAGACAAAAUUGUUCCUCCUGUCACCAGCAUUACCUGGAAACACAGAACCAGUAGUGGAAUUGUCUGGGCGAUUGAAUGGGAUGAAGGAGAAAUUCUAAUCCCGAAUCCGAGAUUCAAAGACAUCACAACUGUUGAUGAGAAGACUGGACAAAUCACUUUAACUAAUUUAAAAGUCGAACAUAGUGGAGUUUAUACCAUUGACAUCAACAGUAAAGAGCAGGAACAAAAAUUCACAUUGACUGUUAUGGAGCCUGUCCCUCAACCUGUGAUAAAAAUAGAGAAGACUGAUAACCCUGAUGUUGUGUAUUUGAGAUGUGAGUACAGUGAACCAAUCAUCUGGAAGAAUUCUGCUGGAGAAACACUGAUGGGUUCACUAAUCGCUCCGAAAGGAGAGUCCAUAGUAGUCAUAAACAAUGGAAAUCCAGAAAACUUCUACACCUCUACACUGAAGAACUAUGUGAGUGAGAAGACCAGUGAUCCGGUCUAUGAGAGAG